rnacentral:rRNA from 1 species
AGCGCCUGUUUAUCAAAAACAUCGCCUCUUGAUUUUUCCCAUAAGAGGUCCAGCCUGCCCAGUGACAUUAGUUCAACGGCCGCGGUAUCCUAACCGUGCGAAGGUAGCGUAAUCACUUGUCUUUUAAAUAGAGACUUGUAUGAAAGGCACCACGAGGGCCUAACUGUCUCCUUUUUCCAAUCAGUGAAACUAAUCUCCCCGUGAAGAAGCGGGGAUUUCCUUAUAAGACGAGAAGACCCUAUGGAGCUUUAAACUUUACAACACCUGCUCCCCCACUCCCCCUUUCAGAAGAUAAAACCCUUAGCACCCUGUCUGUGAGUUUUCGGUUGGGGCGACCCCGGAGAAUAACCCAUCCUCCGUAAUGAACAGAUUCUAUCUUUAGUAACAAGCUACAGCUUUAUACAACAGUAAAACUGACAUACAUUGACCCAUAAUUUGACCAACGAACCAAGUUACCCUAGGGAUAACAGCGCCAUCCACUUUGAAAGUUCCUAUCGACAAGUGGGCUUACGACCUCGAUGUUGGAUCAGGGUAUCCCGGUGGUGCAGCCGCUACUAAAGGUUCGUUUGUCAACGAUAAAACC